UACGUAGGGUGCUAGCGUUGUUCGGAAUCAUUGGGCGUAAAGCGCGUGUAGGCGGUUAGAUAAGUCAGAUGUGAAAAUCCCUGGGCCUCAACCGAGGAAGUGCAUUUGAAACUAUCUAGCUAGAGAGUGGUAGAGGAAGGUGGAAUUCCGUGUGUAGAGGUGAAAUUCGUAGAUAUACGGAGGAAUACCGGUGGCGAAGGCGGCCUUACUGGACGGAUACUGACGCUGAGGCGCGAAGCCAGGGGAGGCG
rnacentral:rRNA from 1 species